ensembl:lncRNA
CAGCUUGCACAGCCAUGCUGGAGAGGAUCCUGGGAAUCAAAACCUCUGAUCCCCUCUGUGAUUGAAAGCGGGGUACGACCAAGUCCUGAGCAAGUGCAAGAUGUGUUCAAAUGAAUGCACUGAAACAUCCCACAGCCUCCGGGAUUGUAACGCCGUGUGCUCCCAGGCGUUACUCUAUGCUGGAGGAGGCAAUGGGAAAAUCCUUACUACUUUUUAUCUGAAACUGAGCAAGGAGCUCCACUGUGGAGGAAGGGAGAAGCAUCAGCAGGGAGACCACAAGCCCAGAAGAUAAAGCUGAAAAACAAAGCUAUUGCACAGGAAAAGCAAUGCAACAGCUGCUUCUGACCAGUGAACUAAAG